GGCAGCUAGCUUUCUCUAAGCUAGUGAUCCAAUGGAGCAAGGCAGAAGCCACAAUGCCUUUUAUGACCUAGCCUCAGAAGCCAUACGCUGUCACCUCUGCUAUACUGUAUUGGUCGCAAAGACCACUCUGAUUCAUUGUGGGAGGGGACUACAUUAAGAGUGUGAAUACCAGCAGACAAGCACUGCUGGGGGUCAUCUUGGAGGCUGGCUACCACAGAUACUUUUGAAAUCAAAAGAGCAUUUUGUAGAGGUUGAAAGGGGAUCCUCAAGGUUCAAAAAAAAAAAUCAGCAGCCCUGGCUGAAGCUCCUGAGUAACCCCAAGGCUCCACAGGACUCCCUUGCCAGGCCAACAGAGCCCUCCUGGGCCUGGCUCCCUCUGUCUGCGCUCCUGGCCAGGCAGGGUGGGGUGGGGCAGACGGGCCCCAGGGUCUCAGCAGUGGACACAACGUUCUGGUUCAGUGGAAGGACCUUAAACUCUGAGACAAGGGCACGGCAGUAAAGGAUGAUGUGGCCGAACCCCCCAGUUCUGCGGCGAGCAGACCCCAGGUUCUGGACUCAUCCUGGCGGAGUGGAGGACAUCACUCGUAGGGCUGACUGCUCCAUGAUAUAAAAAAAUGACAAGUCCCAGCUUAAUCUUUCUGAUAACUGUGUUCUGCGCCCCCAUCCAUCUCCACCAAGGGGUUUGGGCGAAGCUGGAAGACAAGAGCAUCCCAGCAUUUAAGGAUGAAAAAUACAGUGCCCUUUUUUAAGCCCAGCGUGGAGCUCCCUGGCUUGGUGCUAUUCUGGCAGGGAUGGGGGGCAAGGUGGAGGGGAGUGAAAACAAAUAUUGUCACCCCUGGGGCCCCAGAUGGGGGGAUGGACAGUGGGUCCCACACAGUGUCGGGGAGUGUCAGUGUGAGCACGUAUACUUGGAAGUGUGUGUGAGUCUUGUGUCCAUCUGGGUGGCCCCUUGUGCUUCUGAGUCUCUGUUCUUGAAGGUAUGUGGCUAUGUUUUACGAGUGUCUGGAUCUGGUGGUGAGUGCUCCUUGCUAUUGAUUCGAUUCCCAGCUCUGCUCUAAUGACCUAUGGAGACUUUUGUAAGUCAUUCCUCCUUUCUGGGCCUUGGUUUCCUCAUCUGCAAAAUUGGUGAGUUGGGACCACAGGAACCCAAUGUCAUCAAACUGAGCACUUGCUAGCUGGAUGUUCCUGGGCACAUCACAACUCUCCCCUUCACUUCUGCCUUCCCAUCUGUCCUGUGAGAUCCUUGCUCAGGAUGACCUCCCACGCUCUUUCAGUCCCAAGAUGUGAAGACCCUUGGCUGGGGCACCAGAAAGACUCCUUCAGGCCCAGGUUUCCCUGCCCCAAAGCUAGAUU